GUCUCAAAGUCUUAACCUUGAUAAUGAAAUUGUUGCUUUCACAUGGGAAUUUCCUCUCCUGCUUUUAAGAAAAAGAGGAAGAAAGACCCACCCGUGUCGUUAUUGCUGAAGACCAGGACCUCAGUGCACUCCUGAGGAUUUGCCCCCCCAAAGUGAAGGCGCUGUCUCCCUAGUGUGCUCCCCAACCUAGAAGAAACCACCCUAUGAACAGAAGAUAGGGGCACGUUUGGCCGCUCACCUAUUCAAGUUCUGCUUCCUGCCUGGGAAAAGAGGAGCGUUAAAUUACAUAUGCAACCAAAGGUUUAACUGUACUGAGUUUAUUACUUUUAGGGUUUGGGAGUCUCUCUAAGAUACAUGUAAGGAAAGGAAAGAGAAAUUCAAAGGGAAUGAUUUGAGACAGUGAGAG
rnacentral:lncRNA from 1 species